CCUACGGGUGGCAGCAGUGGGGAAUAUUGGGCAAUGGGCGCAAGCCUGACCCAGCAACGCCGCGUGAAGGAAGAAGGCUUUCGGGUUGUAAACUUCUUUUGACCGGGAAGAGCAGAAGACGGUACCUGUCGAAUAAGCCACGGCUAACUACGUGCCAGCAGCCGCGGUAAUACGUAGGUGGCAAGCGUUGUCCGGAUUUACUGGUGGUAAAGGGCGUGUAGCCGGGCUGAAAAGUCAGAUGUGAAAUCCGGGGGCUCAACCCCCGAACUGCAUUUGAAACUGUUGGGCUUGAGUAUCGGAGAGGCAGGCGGAAUUCCUAGUGUAGCGGUGAAAUGCGUAGAUAUUAGGAGGAACACCAGUGGCGAAGGCAGCCUGCUGGACGACAACUGACGGUGAGGCGCGAAAGCGUGGGGAGCAAACAGGAUUAGAUACCCUUGUAGUC
rnacentral:rRNA from 1 species